rnacentral:rRNA from 1 species
CCACGGGUGAGUAACACGUAUCCAACCUGCCGUCUACUCUUGGACAGCCUUCUGAAAGGAAGAUUAAUACAAGAUGGCAUCAUGAGUCCGCAUGUUCACAUGAUUAAAGGUAUUCCGGUAGACGAUGGGGAUGCGUUCCAUUAGAUAGUAGGCGGGGUAACGGCCCACCUAGUCUUCGAUGGAUAGGGGUUCUGAGAGGAAGGUCCCCCACAUUGGAACUGAGACACGGUCCAA